AKAAUUUCCCAGUAACGGCGAGUGAAGAGGAAGAGCUCAAAGUUGGAACCUGCUUGGCUUAGCCAAGCCGGAUUGUAAACUGUAGAAGUGUUUUCCUGACACGCCAGGCAAAAAAGUCCUUUGGAACAGGGCAUCAUAGAGGGUGAGAAUCCCGUCUUUGGCCUGAGCAGUUGUCUUUUGCGAUACACUUUCAAAGAGUCAGGUUGUUUGGGAAUGCAGCCUAAAUUGGGUGGUAAAUCUCACCUAAAGCUAAAUAUUGGCGAGAGACCGAUAGCGAACAAGUACCGUGAGGGAAAGAUGAAAAGAACUUUGAAAAGAGAGUUAAACAGUAUGUGAAAUUGUUAAAAGGGAACCGUUUGGAGCCAGACUGGCUUGGCUGUAAUCAAUCUGGGCUUUUGCCCGGAUGCACUUGCGGCCUAUGCCUGCCAACGACAGUUUUAUUUGGGGGAAAAAACCAGGCGGAAUGUGGCCCCUUUGGGGGUGUUAUAGCCUCUUGGAAAAUACCCUGGAUUGGACUGAGGAUCGCAGCGAAUGCCAUUAGGCGAGAUUGCGGCGUGCUUUCGCUGAUAAAUGCUAGAAUUUCUGCUUCGGGUGGUGCUAGUGUUUAAAGGUGGAACCCGCGCUGUAUAUUUUUUAUUCGCUUAGGUUGUUGGCUUAAUGACUCUAAAUGACCCGUCUUGAAACACGGACCA
rnacentral:rRNA from 1 species